rnacentral:rRNA from 1 species
UGUUAAACGGCCGCGGUACCCUAACCGCGCAAAGGUAGCGUAAUCACUUGUCUCCUAAAUAGAGACCCGUAUGAAUGGCCAAAUGAGGACUUAACUAUCCUUCCUGACUGAUCAAUGAACCUGAUCUCUUAGUACAAAAGCUGAGAUAACCCUAUAAGACGAGAAGACCCUGUGGAGCUUUAAGUUAAACCAUCAAGCCCAUAACGCACCUAUGAUACUACACUUAAGUUGGGGCAACUUUGAAAAAAAACCAAACUUUCAAGUUUUUAACCAGCAGCACAAGACUGACAAAUCACCCCUGCUCACAAACUGACCCAGUAAAACUGAUCAACGAACCAAGUUACCCCAGGGAUAACAGCGCAAUCCCCUUAAAGAGUCCCUAUCGCCAAGGGGGUUUACGACCUCGAUGUUGGAUCAGGACACCCCGGUGGUGCAGCAGCUACCAAAGGUUCGUUUGUUCAACGAUUA